rnacentral:misc_RNA from 1 species
CGUCAUUACACCACUCAAGCCUCGCUUGGUAUUGGGCGACGCGGUACGCCGCGCGCCUCAAAUCUUCCGGCUGGUUCGAAUCGUCCCUCAGCGUUGUGGAAACUAUUCGCUAGAGGUGCACGCUCCGGUCACGCCGUUAAACAAGCCAAUUUUCAUUAAAGGUUGACCUCGGAUCAGGUAGGGAUACCCGCUGAACUUAA